UUAAGCGACUAAGCGUACACGGUGGAUGCCCUGGCAGUCAGAGGCGAUGAAGGACGUGCUAAUCUGCGAUAAGCGUCGGUAAGGUGAUAUGAACCGUUAUAACCGGCGAUUUCCGAAUGGGGAAACCCAGUGUGAUUCGUCACACUAUCAUUAACUGAAUCCAUAGGUUAAUGAGGCGAACCGGGGGAACUGAAACAUCUAAGUACCCCGAGGAAAAGAAAUCAACCGAGAUUCCCCCAGUAGCGGCGAGCGAACGGGGAGCAGCCCAGAGCCUGAAUCAGUGUGUGUGUUAGUGGAAGCGUCUGGAAAGGCGCGCGAUACAGGGUGACAGCCCCGUACACAAAAAUGCACAUGCUGUGAGCUCGAUGAGUAGGGCGGGACACGUGGUAUCCUGUCUGAAUAUGGGGGGACCAUCCUCCAAGGCUAAAUACUCCUGACUGACCGAUAGUGAACCAGUACCGUGAGGGAAAGGCGAAAAGAACCCCGGCGAGGGGAGUGAAAAAGAACCUGAAACCGUGUACGUACAAGCAGUGGGAGCACGAGCAAGCGUGUGACUGCGUACCUUUUGUAUAAUGGGUCAGCGACUUAUAUUCUGUAGCAAGGUUAACCGAAUAGGGGAGCCGAAGGGAAACCGAGUCUUAACUGGGCGUUAAGUUGCAGGGUAUAGACCCGAAACCCGGUGAUCUAGCCAUGGGCAGGUUGAAGGUUGGGUAACACUAACUGGAGGACCGAACCGACUAAAUGUUGAAAAAUUAGCGGAUGACUUGUGGCUGGGGGUGAAAGGCCAAUCAAACCGGGAGAUAGCUGGUUCUCCCCGAAAGCUAUUUAGGUAGCGCCUCGUGAAUUCAUCUCCGGGGGUAGAGCACUGUUUCGGCAAGGGGGUCAUCCCGACUUACCAACCCGAUGCAAACUGCGAAUACCGGAGAAUGUUAUCACGGGAGACACACGGCGGGUGCUAACGUCCGUCGUGAAGAGGGAAACAACCCAGACCGCCAGCUAAGGUCCCAAAGUCAUGGUUAAGUGGGAAACGAUGUGGGAAGGCCCAGACAGCCAGGAUGUUGGCUUAGAAGCAGCCAUCAUUUAAAGAAAGCGUAAUAGCUCACUGGUCGAGUCGGCCUGCGCGGAAGAUGUAACGGGGCUAAACCAUGCACCGAAGCUGCGGCAGCGACGCUGAUGCGUUGUUGGGUAGGGGAGCGUUCUGUAAGCCUGCGAAGGUGUGCUGUGAGGCAUGCUGGAGGUAUCAGAAGUGCGAAUGCUGACAUAAGUAACGAUAAAGCGGGUGAAAAGCCCGCUCGCCGGAAGACCAAGGGUUCCUGUCCAACGUUAAUCGGGGCAGGGUGAGUCGACCCCUAAGGCGAGGCCGAAAGGCGUAGUCGAUGGGAAACAGGUUAAUAUUCCUGUACUUGGUGUUACUGCGAAGGGGGGACGGAGAAGGCUAUGUUGGCCGGGCGACGGUUGUCCCGGUUUAAGCGUGUAGGCUGGUUUUCCAGGCAAAUCCGGAAAAUCAAGGCUGAGGCGUGAUGACGAGGCACUACGGUGCUGAAGCAACAAAUGCCCUGCUUCCAGGAAAAGCCUCUAAGCAUCAGGUAACAUCAAAUCGUACCCCAAACCGACACAGGUGGUCAGGUAGAGAAUACCAAGGCGCUUGAGAGAACUCGGGUGAAGGAACUAGGCAAAAUGGUGCCGUAACUUCGGGAGAAGGCACGCUGAUAUGUAGGUGAAGCUUGCUGUGGAGCUGAAAUCAGUCGAAGAUACCAGCUGGCUGCAACUGUUUAUUAAAAACACAGCACUGUGCAAACACGAAAGUGGACGUAUACGGUGUGACGCCUGCCCGGUGCCGGAAGGUUAAUUGAUGGGGUCAGCGCAAGCGAAGCUCUUGAUCGAAGCCCCGGUAAACGGCGGCCGUAACUAUAACGGUCCUAAGGUAGCGAAAUUCCUUGUCGGGUAAGUUCCGACCUGCACGAAUGGCGUAAUGAUGGCCAGGCUGUCUCCACCCGAGACUCAGUGAAAUUGAACUCGCUGUGAAGAUGCAGUGUACCCGCGGCAAGACGGAAAGACCCCGUGAACCUUUACUAUAGCUUGACACUGAACAUUGAGCCUUGAUGUGUAGGAUAGGUGGGAGGCUUUGAAGUGUGGACGCCAGUCUGCAUGGAGCCGACCUUGAAAUACCACCCUUUAAUGUUUGAUGUUCUAACGUUGACCCGUAAUCCGGGUUGCGGACAGUGUCUGGUGGGUAGUUUGACUGGGGCGGUCUCCUCCUAAAGAGUAACGGAGGAGCACGAAGGUUGGCUAAUCCUGGUCGGACAUCAGGAGGUUAGUGCAAUGGCAUAAGCCAGCUUGACUGCGAGCGUGACGGCGCGAGCAGGUGCGAAAGCAGGUCAUAGUGAUCCGGUGGUUCUGAAUGGAAGGGCCAUCGCUCAACGGAUAAAAGGUACUCCGGGGAUAACAGGCUGAUACCGCCCAAGAGUUCAUAUCGACGGCGGUGUUUGGCACCUCGAUGUCGGCUCAUCACAUCCUGGGGCUGAAGUAGGUCCCAAGGGUAUGGCUGUUCGCCAUUUAAAGUGGUACGCGAGCUGGGUUUAGAACGUCGUGAGACAGUUCGGUCCCUAUCUGCCGUGGGCGCUGGAGAAUUGAGGGGGGCUGCUCCUAGUACGAGAGGACCGGAGUGGACGCAUCACUGGUGUUCGGGUUGUCAUGCCAAUGGCACUGCCCGGUAGCUAAAUGCGGAAGAGAUAAGUGCUGAAAGCAUCUAAGCACGAAACUUGCCCCGAGAUGAGUUCUCCCUGACUCCUUGAGAGUCCUGAAGGAACGUUGAAGACGACGACGUUGAUAGGCCGGGUGUGUAAGCGCAGCGAUGCGUUGAGCUAACCGGUACUAAUGAACCGUGAGGCUUAACCUU
rnacentral:rRNA from 1 species